AACGAACGCUGGCGGCAUGCCUAACACAUGCAAGUCGAACGGGAUCCUGGUUUCGGCCAGGUGAGAGUGGCGGACGGGUGAGUAACGCGUGGGAACCUGCCCAGUGGUGGGGGAUAACUGCGGGAAACUGCAGCUAAUACCGCAUGAGCCCGCAAGGGGAAAGAUUGAUCGCCAUUGGAGGGGCCCGCGUUCGAUUAGGUAGUUGGUGAGGUAACGGCUCACCAAGCCUACGAUCGAUAGCUGGUCUGAGAGGAUGAUCAGCCACACUGGGACUGAGAUACGGCCCAGACUCCUACGGGAGGCAGCAGUGGGAAUAUUGGACGAUGGGGCAACCCUGAUCCAGCAAUGCCGCGUGAGUGAUGAAGG
rnacentral:rRNA from 1 species